AACGAACGCUGGCGGCGCGUCUUAAGCAUGCAAGUCGAACGGCAAGAGAGGAGCUUGCUUCUCUCCUAGAGUGGCGGACUGGUGAGGAACACGUGGGUAAUCUACCCUUAAGAUGGGGAUAGCUGCUAGAAAUAGCAGGUAAUACCGAAUACACUCGGCAUAUCACAAGAGGUGUUGAGGAAAGGAAGCUACGGCUUCGUUUGAGGAUGAGUUUGCGUCCCAUUAGCUAGUUGGUGAGGUAAAGGCCCACCAAGGCGACGCUCAGUAUACGGCCUGAGAGGGUGAACGAACACAUUGGAACUGAGAGACAGCCCAAACUCCUACGGGAUGCAUCAGCGAAGCAUCUUCCACAAUGGACAGAAGUCUAACGCACCGACGCCUCGUGGAUGAAGAAGGCUGAAAAGUUGUAAAAUCCUUUUGUUGAUGAAUAAUCAGACUGAGAGGGAAUGCUCAUCUUAUAACGGUAAUCGACUAAUAAGCCCCGGCUAAUUACGUG
rnacentral:rRNA from 1 species